UACGUAGGGGGCGAGCGUUGUCCGGAUUUAUUGGGCGUAAAGAGCGUGUAGGCGGCUUUGCAGGUCCGCUGUGAAAACUCGAGGCUCAACCUCGAGCUGUCGGUGGAAACCGUGAAGCUAGAGUCCGGAAGAGGAGAGUGGAAUUCCCGGUGUAGCGGUGAAAUGCGCAGAUAUCGGGAAGAACACCCGUGGCGAAGGCGGCUCUCUGGGACGGUACUGACGCUGAGACGCGAAAGCGUGGGGAGCGAACAGG
rnacentral:rRNA from 1 species